rnacentral:lncRNA from 1 species
AUUAUAAAACACUACUUUGCAACGUAUAUUUUUUUUUAAAUAUGACGACCUUUUAAAAUGAAAUGAAAUGUAUGAUUACGAUACAUAAUUACAUUAGACAGGUACAACCUGUAAUACAAAAGUAUACACACAAUUUCACUGACUUCAAUACCUCAUCACAAACAUGCAUAGAUUUAUCCAGUACCUGUCAACUUACUCAUUCAUAAAGUUUUGUACUAUACACACAAAAUUACUCCAAUCAUAUUUUCACAAUUUCAUCUUCAACUUACUCACUUUUUCAUCAUAUCUAAAUAUCUUUCCAGUGAAAAAAAAAAAAAAAAGUGGAGAGCUCACAUAGAUAUAUCCACCCAAUGACCCCCAAAUCUAACCAGGUGUAGAACUCAAUGUUACCAGUCUAAUCAGGUGUAGAACUCAAUGUUACCAGUCUAACCAGGUGUAGAACUCAAUGUUACCAGUCUAAUCAGGUGUAGAACUCAAUGUUACCAGUCUAAUCAGGUGUAGAACUCAAUGUUACCAGUCUAAUCAGGUGUAGAACUCAAUGUUACCAGUCUAAUCAGGUGUAGAACUCAAUGUUACCAGUCUAAUCAGGUGUAGAACUCAAUGUUACCAGUCUAAUCAGGUGUAGAACUCAAUGUUACCAGUCUAAUCAGGUGUAGAACUCAAUGUUACCAGUCUAAUCAGGUGUAGAACUCAAUGUUACCAGUCUAAUCAGGUGUAGAACUCAAUGUUACCAGUCUAAUCAGGUGUAGAACUCAAUGUUACCAGUCUAAUCAGGUGUAGAACUCAAUGUUACCAGUCUAAUCAGGUGUAGAACUCAAUGUUACCAGUCUAAUCAGGUGUAGAACUCAAUGUUACCAGUCUAAUCAGGUGUAGAACUCAAUGUUACCAGUCUAAUCAGGUGUAGAACUCAAUGUUACCAGUCUAAUCAGGUGUAGAACUCAAUGUUACCAGUCUAAUCAGGUGUAGAACUCAAUGUUACCAGUCUAAUCAGGUGUAGAACUCAAUGUUACCAGUCUAAUCAGGUGUAGAACUCAAUGUUACCAGUCUAAUCAGGUGUAGAACUCAAUGUUACCAGUCUAAUCAGGUGUAGAACUCAAUGUUACCAGUCUAAUCAGGUGUAGAACUCAAUGUUACCAGUCUAAUCAGGUGUAGAACUCAAUGUUACCAGUCUAAUCAGGUGUAGAACUCAAUGUUACCAGUCUAAUCAGGUGUAGAACUCAAUGUUACCAGUCUAAUCAGGUGUAGAACUCAAUGUUACCAGUCUAAUCAGGUGUAGAACUCAAUGUUACCAGUCUAAUCAGGUGUAGAACUCAAUGUUACCAGUCUAAUCAGGUGUAGAACUCAAUGUUACCAGUCUAAUCAGGUGUAGAACUCAAUGUUACCAGUCUAAUCAGGUGUAGAACUCAAUGUUACCAGUCUAAUCAGGUGUAGAACUCAAUGUUACCAGUCUAAUCAGGUGUAGAACUCAAUGUUACCAGUCUAAUCAGGUGUAGAACUCAAUGUUACCAGUCUAAUCAGGUGUAGAACUCAAUGUUACCAGUCUAAUCAGGUG